UACGUAGGGUGCAAGCGUUGUUCGGAAUUACUGGGCGUAAAGGGCGCGUAGGCGGGCUCGUAUGUCGAUUGUGAAAGCCCUGGGCUUAACCCGGGAAUGGCAGUCGAAACUGCGAGUCUUGAAUGCUUGAGAGGAUGGCGGAAUUCCCGGUGUAGAAGUGAAAUUCGUAGAUAUCGGGAAGAACACCUGAGGCGAAGGCGGCUAUCUGGCGAUGCAUUGACGCUGAGGCGCGAAAGCGUGGGGAUCAAACAGG
rnacentral:rRNA from 1 species